rnacentral:misc_RNA from 1 species
CGCACAUUGCGCCCUCUGGUAUUCCGGGGGGCAUACCUGCUCGAGCGUCAUUGCAACCCUCAAGCGUAGCUUGGUCUUGGGCCCUCCGUUCACAUGGACGUACCCGAAAAGGAUUGGCGGUUUGGUGUAGACUUUAAGCGUAGUAAUCUAUCUCCCGCUUUGAAAGCUUUUGCACCGGGCUUGCCACGCAACCCCUUAUUCUCUAAGAGAUUGACCUCGGAUCAGGUAGGAAUACCCGCUGAACUUAA